rnacentral:rRNA from 1 species
UACGGGGGGGGCAAGCGUUGUUCGGAAUUACUGGGCGUAAAGGGCUCGUAGGUGGCCAACUAAGUCAGACGUGAAAUCCCUCGGCUUAACCGGGGAACUGCGUCUGAUACUGGAUGGCUUGAGUUUGGGAGAGGGAUGCGGAAUUCCAGGUGUAGCGGUGAAAUGCGUAGAGAUCGGGAGGAACAUCUGUGGCGAAGGCGGCCAUCUGGACCAGCACUGACACUGAGGCACGAAAGCGUGGGGAGCAAACAGG